GGGCUGGUAGCUCAGUUGGUUAGAGCACCACCAUAUAUAGGUAGAGGUCCUGGGUUCAAUCCCCGGCUGGUCCA
rnacentral:tRNA from 2 species